AUGAUUCAUAUACUGCGUGGAUUUUGUAACACAUUGGUUCACUUCCACAGGUCUGACAGCUGCAGACGACCUCUGUUGUCCUCUGCUUCAUUCUGGAAAGUGCUUUUCCUUCCAGAGAGAUUCUUCCAUUUUCUCUCAUUACAAAACCCGAAGAACAGCCACGUGGGGCCAUCAGCUCCCAGCCUAAGGUCCUAGAACCCGAAGCUUGAAGGCAGUCAGUACCUCUGCUUUUCAAAGUUUCCAACUGAUCAUUUUGAGGAGCAAAAGGGAAGAGUGAAAGAUGAGGACCGCUUUGAGUGGAGGUGGCACUGAACUUGAUGCAGUAACUACAAAUGCAAUUUAAAAUAAAAGCAUGAGUAUGUAAAUUGCAAGGACAGGUGUACAGAAAGAAGAGACUGACUCCUAGACAGGUGCUGGCAAAGCAGUGUAAUUAAAAAGGCAAGGAGGAAAGGGAGCUGCCACAUGUACACCGCCCGUACACACACACACACAACACACGUUAUCAGACAUUCAAAAAAUGAGAUCUUACAAUACGAACCCCAGAGGACCGUGGAUUCCAGUAUUGUCAGGGGAGAAAUAGUGUGAUAAAAUCAUUUCAUACUUAGUUAUGUUUUCAUUGUUAAAGAAAUAGACCAUUUUGAGGUAGUUAAAGCUCAGAGAAUAGCAUGUAUGUAGUCUUCUUGAAAUAUACAUUGGCUUUAUGCUCCAGCGGAGAUAGGAAUCAAAGGUGAGGCUGAAAAUAAAUAGGCGUAAUAUAAACUGUCCCCCAGAUUGUGUUAAAUCUAAAGAAUGGUUCAGUAUUUUAUUGUAUCUCACUGUAUGUGAAAAGAAACAAAACAAUACCUACCCUUAUUUUGUAUAUGCAGUGCAUUAUAAUAUUUUCUAUUUUGUUCUGUUUCUUUUUUUGUUGAUGCUUGACACAAAACAUUAAAUUGGUUUUGCAAUCUACAAUUUGAAA